rnacentral:lncRNA from 1 species
CCUCGUCGGAAAGAUGGUUGAUGAUCUCUCCACUUUCUUUCGUACUCCGUAGAACGAACCAACUUUUUUUCUUCUUCCCCUUGGGUCCUUAAACCUAUCUAAUUUUUUUUUCUAAUUUUUUUCUAGUCUUUCAACUGAUUUUUUCUUCUCCCAAGAUUUAUUUUUGGACUCCCUAUUUAUAGGUGAAUGCUUAGACCGCCC